AUACUGCUGUCCUCCACACACCGUUUAUGUAUCAACAGCCUUUUCUUCCACGCGUGAAGUGUGCCGAAUGGAUCCUAUAUGUAUGUACAAUCACAUCCAGCUCAAAAGCGCACCAGUUUUUGCCAUCUUAUGCUCAAAGGAAUCAUCAUCAACCUUAGCCUCCUAUCCUGUGCACAUGAGGCCAAAGAAAUGCCAUGUUUCCAGCAUGGGCGCACGCAAGUUUAUUUUUUCUCCUCUCCUUUUGGGGGGAAAAGGAAGAGUUUUAUUGCCGUGGUGCUCUUGAUAACGAGAGUGCCUUGCUGUUUCUGGAAACACAAAAACUCCGCUCCUGCUGGCGGCCUCGAACCAGAUCCGCCGCACACCGCGGUCUGGUUCAGAACCAGUAACAGGCGGGCAAACGUAUAAAUGCAGAGUAUUGGAAUGAAAACAGCAUGGUUAUUGCUGGGGUUGCAAAGGCGCGUGCAGCCAGCCUAUAUUUAUGCACAUAUCGCACGGUCUGUUAUGCAGGAAGGCUUGUCAGCGCGCCGUCUGUGCUAACUGUAUCUCUUUUCAGUUUGCUGCAGCACUUGAUGUUUUGCCGGAGUUAGCUUCUGUCCGCAGGGAAGAUCAAGCCCCCUUCCCUUCCCUGGUGGUGGACUUGGUUUUGAACGGGUUGGCGGAUCUUCAUCUUGGUUCCGUGCCGAACUCGAUCGAUCGAUCGAUCUAUUCCGUAGUGUAAUCUGAAGCAUAUGAGGGUUGUAUCUUGUAUAUGUAUGUAGUAUGUGUGCUGGAGGAGCUGUGUGGCUCUAGUGCUGGAAUCUACUUUAUUUGUAUGCAAGCCCAGCCAACUCACAGUAAUCAUAACCUGAGGACCCUCUAUUCAUUUUGAGGACAAGUAUUUCCGUGCUGCCGUUGGUCGGCGGUGGCUCAUUGC